rnacentral:lncRNA from 1 species
GUCCACGCGCUGCGGCCUUGGAGUAACUGCUGUUCUUAAAGGCUGCCUCCGUCCUGCCGCGCGGCCUUUAGAGGGUUGGAGCUGGCAGAACCGUAACUCCCUCUCUGAGGGUGAAUACGGGCCUUGAUUGCCAGAAGGGCCCUCGGCCGGGGACGCGGGAUGAUGCGGGGCCGGGAGAUGCUUUCCUGGAGGCUGAGAAACCUGGAGGGAGACCCCCAAAACUUCUCAGUUCGCCGACCCCUUGGUCCCAGAGGGAGAGGAGCAUCCCCAAAGAACAUUCAAGUCUGAGCCUCAAGGAGCCUCUGCGACUCGGUGUCUAGAUCCAGGAAAUGGAGAAUGAGCCGUGACUUUGGAUGCUUCACUCUUGUCCAUCAGGCUCGGAAUUGGCCUGUUGAAGUAGGAGGCAGGACUCAACUUCAGACCAGAUUGAAGACUGGCUGACACAGAAGAGGCACCAAAAGCACCUCUCUCUCCAUAAGACAUGCCCACCAGUGCCAUGACAGUUUACCAUUGCUAUGGCAAUGCCCAGAAGUUCUCACCCCUUUUCCAGACAUUUCUGCAUAAUCUACCCCUCAAUUGGCAUGUGAUCAAAAGUGGGUGUCAAAAUGACUGUGGAACUGUCCCUGAGCUGCUACUCUUGACAUGCUGGUUACAGGGUAGCCCGGCUCUGCAGGGACAGUCACGGAGCUGAAAAACUGCUGCCUAAUGAAGCUGUUUUCUUCUACCACCGGCUCACCCUCAAAUUAUUUCCUGAGCGAACUCAAGAACCUUCCUGGGCUAAGCCCCAAUUUUGGGGCUCGCCUGCCCCUGCAUCACAGCUUCCUCUUCUGUUCACAGCUGCAACCGCCUACUCAACCUUCUGCGGUUCCUCUCCCUGCCCCUCCACAGUGGCUGCUGAUGGGAGCUCUGGCUCCCUGCGUUUUCACUAUCUCCCAGUCAAAUGCAGAGUCCCUGUGCAAUUUAAAUGCUUCUCAGCUAAGAACAGAGAAGGGGAUAGCAUAAGGAUAUUCAAAAGAUUCAAGAAAUCUCAAAAGUGAUCACAAAACAUUUGUCUCUGACCAACCAGAAACAUCGACGGGUGAGAAGGGCAUUUCCUCUAGCUGAAUUCUUCAUGGGUCUUCAGGCUCUGUUUUCACUUUGGAUUUUCUGGAGUCUCCUGAAGGUUACCUGAAAUCUUGUUGGUCCUGAAUAUUGUAUGUGGAGUCCCAAGCUGCAAGAAGUCAGUGGGGCUGGACGGGAGCCAAAAUCAGAGACUCAAGCAGCACAGCUGGGCCCCAUUGAAAGUGAGACCAGCUGUCCCAGUUGGAAGCUGGGGUAUAGAGCUGGGGAUGGGUGGAGGCAGUGACAGGCUCCAUGUAUUGGUCAUUCAGACUCCCCAGUAGCCUCAGGACCCAACUCCCACAGGUCAGAGAAGACCUGGUGGAGGGCCUUAUGCAAACCUCAGUGGGUGAUGCAGGAGGGAGUUUUCUGAGCAGGAAUGCCAACAAAAAAGGCCUUCAAAGGAAGGCCCUGCUUGGGACAAUCCUGCCUCUUUAUGGUCUGGUUCACAGGUUCCCCUGGGUGGGGUAAUGGAAUCCAAGCUAAGGUGUCUGACUUCAAAAGUUUUCAGAAAUGCCACUUUUGUAAGCAUCAGGGAUUGGGUUUUCUGAGAUGCAAAACAUCUUUGUUAAGGGGUUAAAGCAUCCUUAAGCUGUUUAGGUUUCUGGGGAUACAUAGACUUAGGAAGUUAGAGCAGGUGAAGUUGAGGGGGAUGGGAACUAAGAAUUAGCUCAAAAUAGUCACCAAUGCAGAAACCCAGGCACUUGGGACCCUGACAGUGGGGAAGGCAGAGGAGUAACUGUGGGGACUUGGGCACCCUAUUAGCAGAAUGGGGUAACAGAGAAGGCAAGAAUUGCUUCCCAGGAGACUGGGCUGGGAACAGGAAGGGGACUAAAAUGCUGUCCCUGGCUGAAGAGUGUGGAGGUAUAGAGGAGCUGGUAGCAGGGCUCUGAAUCCAUACACGAGAGCAAGGACCAGUGGUUUCAGGGUGGGAUAGGGCUUUGAUGUCUUCAUGGACUUAGGGUAAUAUUCACCACCAUGGUGAAUUCCACAAAGGAGAAUUCACACAAAGGUCUCGGACCAGCCAGUUUCCAUGUGAAAAAGCCAUCUGGGAGCAAGGGAACAAACCCAGGAAUACAACUGUAUUGGGGGAAAUUCAGCCAGACAUAGGGCAAAAUUCACCCCCAAUAUUUCAUGUAGGUUCUUUUCUAUUUUCCGUAAGUGUCGGCCGGUCUGAGAAAUAAAGGGACAGAGCUCAAAAGAGAGAAAUUUUAAAGCUGGGUGUCUGGGGGAGACAUCACAUGUCGGCAGGUUCCGUGAUGCCCCCCGAGCCGUAAAACCAGCAAGUUUUUAUUCGUGAUUUUCAAAAGGGGAGGGGGAGUGUAUGAAUAGGGUGUGGGUCACAGAGAUCACAUGCUUCACAAGAUAAUAAGAUAUCACAAGGCAAAUGGAGGCAGGGCGAGAUCACAGGACCACAGGACCGGGGCAAAAUUAAAAUUGCUAAUGAAGUUUCGGGCAUGCAUUUUCAUUGAUAACAUCUUAUCAGGAGACAGGGUCUGAGAGCAGACAACCGGUCUGACCAAAAUUUAUUAGGCGGGAAUUUCCUCGUCCUAAUAAGCCUGGGAGCGCUAUGGGAGACUGGGGCUUAUUUCAUCCCUACAGCUUUGACCAUAAAAGACGGCCGCCCCCCGAAGCGGCCAUUUCGGAGGCCUACCCUCAGGGACACAUUCUCUUUCUCAGGGAUGUUCCUUGCUGAGAAAAAAAAUUUAGCGAUAUUUCUCCCAUUUGUUUUUGAAAGAAGAAAAAUAUGGCUCUGUUCUGCCUGGCUCACCGGCAGUCAGAGUUUAAGGUUAUCUCUCUUGCUCCCUGAACAUUGCUGUUAUCCUGUUCUUUUUUCAAGGUGCCCAGAUUUCAUAUUGUUCAAACACACAUGCUCUACAAACAAUUUGUGCAGUUAACGCAAUCAUCACAGGGUCCUGAGGCGACAUACAUCCUCCUCAUUUUACAAAGAUGAUGGGAUUAAGAGAUUAAAGACAGGCAUAGGAAAUCACAAGGGUAUUGAUUGGGGAAGUGAUAAGUGUCCAUGAAAUCUUCACAAUUUAUGUUCAGAGAUUGCAGUAAAGACAGGCGUAAGAAAUUAUAAAAGUAUUAAUUUGGGGAACUAAUAAAUGUCCAUGAAAUCUUCACAAUCCACAAUUAUUCUGCCAUGGCUUCAGCCGGUCCCUCCAUUUGGGGUUCCUGACUUCCCGCAACACAAGUGGAGAGAGAGGUGGCCUGACAUUAUGGCUAAGUUGAUAUGGAAGCAUUCUGGUUUGUUCUAGAAAAAAUGAAAGAGGUGGUGCAGGUAAUCAUCAGCUCCUGGUUCUGUAGCAAGGCUUUUGCUGCAAUCCCAGGAGGUAGCAACCUAGGCUUUGGUUCUGAAAGAAGAGGGUCUACCUUCCUGAAUCAUUUUUAGGAGUCUGCUGAUGGCCAGGCUUGGUGAGUUGGACUCUGUAAGGAAUUUUUAUUUAAGUGAGGUCUGGGUAGGAAAAGAGAAGGGAAAAACUUGACCCUGCCUGCACCAAAGGAUUCUGGGAAGGAGAAUAAAGAGAAAAACCCUUCUUCAUGUUUCUGCUUCAGAGCAGGAGAACCAUCACAAGCUAAGUAAAGUCAAUGAAGGGCGAGUGGCCCUAUGGCCACCUGGGCACACACCUGCCCCUUGGCCACCUUGCAUAGGCAGGCUGAGGAGGUCACUAAGGCUUGGUUUUCCUGACCUGCCCUGAUUCCACAUGCUGUAAGGAGGACCCAGAAGGCUGUGUGGCUACAGAGGUGCCCAGCAUGGUGGGGGUCACUUCAGUGUGGACACUAGACUGGACCGCGUGGAACUACAACCAGCUCAGAGCGCCAGCCAGAGUGCUGUUCUGGCCAGAAGGAGGAGCCAAGACCCACACCCAGGAGGACAAUGAGCCCCUCUCUGCAGACAGGAGCCAGCCACACCUGGGGUCUGGGGAGACUCUUCCUGAUUCCAAAUGGGACUGAACUUUAAACCAGACUGGGCAUUUGAGCAAUUUUUUAAAAGCUGUCAACCAAAUAAAGGAAUGCCAUUUUCUUUA